UUUGGUUCUUAGUCCAAGAUGGCCAGUCUCAAGGAUCUGCUAAUUGUGAAUCUCCUUAAGGAGGAACAGGUGCCCCAAAAUAAGAUCAUGGUUGUUGGGGUUGGUGCUGUUGGAAUGCCUGUGCCAUCAGUAUCUUAAUGAAGGACUUGGCAGAUGAACUUGCUCUCGUUGAUGUCGCAGAAGACAAAUUGAAGGGAGAGAUGGUGGACCUCUAACACGGGAGCCUUUUCCUUAGGACACCAAAACUUGUCUCUGGCAGAGACUAUCAUGUAUCUUCAAAGUCCAAGAUGGUUGUUAUCACUGCUGGAGCACAUCAGCAAGAGGGAGAGAGCCGUCUCAAUUUAAUGCAGUGUAAUGUGAACAUCUUCAAGUUCAUCACUCCUAAUGUUGUAAAGUACAGUCCCAACUGCAAGUUGCUUAUUGUGUCCAACCCAGUGGAUAUCUUGAACUAUGUGGCUUGGAAGAUAAGUGGCUUUCCCAAGAAGCUUGUUGUUGGCAGUGUUUGCAACCUGGAUUAAGCCCCGUUCUGCUACCUGAUGGGGGAAAGGCUGGGAGUGCACCCACUGAGCUGCCAUGGCUGGAUCCUCGGGGGACACAGAGAUUCCAGCGUCCCUGUGUGGAGUGGUAUGAAUGUUGCUGGUGUCACCCUGAAGAGUCAGCACCCUGAAUUAGGAAGUGAUAGGGAUAAUGAGCACUAUAAAGAGGUUCACAAACAGGGGGUUGACAGUGCUUAUGGAGCUAUAACUAAAAGGCUCUACAUCCUGGGUCAUUGAACUGUCGGCAGCAGACUUGGCCGAAAGUGCAAUGAAGAAUCUUAGGAGGGUGCAUCCAGUUUCCACCAUGAUUAAGGGGCUCUGUGGAAUCAACGAUGAUGUCUUCCUUAGUGUCCCUUGAGUCCUGGGAUAGAAUGGGAUCUCUGGUCUUGUGGAGGUGACUCUGACUCCUGAGGAAGUUGUACAUUUGAAGAAGAGUGUGGUUUCCCUGUGGUCAAUCCAGAAGAAGCUGCAGUUUUAUAUUCUUCCAGUGUUACCACAUCACUGUCCUGGCUAUGGGAGGGUUUAG